rnacentral:lncRNA from 1 species
AGUCGGAAGGAGGCGGGGGCGAUGGAUCUGGUGUGGAAGGAGGCGGGGGCGGCGGAUCUGGUGUGGAAGGAGGCGGCGGCGGUGGAUCUUUCCCCCAAUCUCUGUCUCUUCUCUUUCACAAGGCGGCGGCUGAAGGAGGAUCUGUCUCUUCUCUUUCACAAGGCGGCGGCGAGGCGGCGGCGGCGGAUCCAGAUCUUUUGAACGCCUGAAUUUCUCUCUCUUCUCUUUCACAAGAUCUGGUGUCUCGAUUCCUUAUCCAGAUCGGUUGUUGGUGAUGUUGAUGUCCCUAGUAGUGGUGGUGG